rnacentral:lncRNA from 1 species
CAAGCAACAACCACUACACAAAAACCUAUGGCGCUUCUUGGGUUGGGAUUUUGAGAUUGAACCCUAAGCAAAGCGAACAGAAGACAACUUCCUCUCAACAAUCAUUUCCCUUUGUCAUCCUUUUCCUGGCUUCUGUUAAGGAAGGGGAAAUUGAAGUCAUCCAGCUGACAAUCACAGUUCCACAGAUACCUCAAUGGGCUGCUGCCUCUACCUGCAUAGUCUUCUUCUGGUACUGGAACCACUCUAUAUAAAUUGUUGAUGAAUAAGUAUCCUGCUUGUAGAAACUCAGGCACCAACUGGAAGACCCAGAGGCUGUGGGUCAACCCACCUGCAUCUGUG